GCCUACGGGGGGCAGCAGUAGGGAAUUUUCGUCAAUGGGCGCAAGCCUGAACGAGCAAUGCCGCGUGAACGAGGAAGGUCUUCGGAUCGUAAAGUUCUGUUGAAGGGGAAAAAGAGCGGAGAGAGGAAAUGGUCUCCGAUUGAUAUUACCCUUCGAGGAAGUCACGGCUAACUACGUGCCAGCAGCCGCGGUAAUACGUAGGUGGCGAGCGUUAUCCGGAAUGAUUGGGCGUAAAGGGUGCGUAGGCGGCCUGCUAAGUCUGGAGUGAAAGGUACCGGCUCAACCGGCAUAGGCGCUGGAAACUG
rnacentral:rRNA from 1 species